rnacentral:tRNA from 1 species
GGACUCGUAGCUCAGCUGGCAGAGCACACGAUUCACAUUCGUGGGGUCAGAGGUUCGAAUCCUCUCGAGUCCACCU